rnacentral:rRNA from 1 species
AGCAGUCGCCGCGGUAAGACGAACCGUGCAAACGUUACUCGGAAUCACUGGGCUUAAAGCGCACGUAGGCGGCGACAUAAGUUAGAGGUGAAAUCCCAUCGGCUCAACCGUGGAACUGCCUCUAAUACUGUGUUGCUUGAGGGAGAACGGGGCAUUCGGAACUUCCGGUGGAGCGGUGAAAUGUGUUGAUAUCGGAAGGAACGCCGGUGGCGAAAGCGGAAUGCUGGGUCUCUUCUGACGCUGAGGUGCGAAAGCUAGGGUAGCGAACGGGAUUAGAUACCCGGGUAGUCCCUGUCUCUUAUA